rnacentral:rRNA from 1 species
UACGAAGGGGGCUAGCGUUGUUCGGAAUCACUGGGCGUAAAGCGCACGUAGGCGGAUCUUUAAGUCAGGGGUGAAAUCCCGAGGCUCAACCUCGGAACUGCCUUUGAUACUGGGGAUCUCGAGUCCGGGAGAGGUGAGUGGAACUGCGAGUGUAGAGGUGAAAAUUCGUAGAUAUUCGCAAGAACACCAGUGGCGAAGGCGGACUCACUGGCCCGGAACUGACGCUGAGGUG